rnacentral:rRNA from 1 species
UUCGCCCUCAAAUCAGGUAGGACUACCCGCUGACUUAAGCCUAUCCAUAAGUGGGAG